GCCUCGGUGGUGAUGUGGUAGUAUCCGUCUCCGGUAUGGAGAAAACGCGGGUUCGAUUUCCGCCUGAGGCC